rnacentral:rRNA from 1 species
GAAGUGGAGCUAAUCCCAAAAAUCUGGUCUCAGGUCGGAUUGAAGGCUGCAAUUCGCCUUCAUGAAGCAGGAAUCUCUAGUAACGGCGGAUCAGCAAUGCCGUCGUGAAUACGUUCCCGGGCCUUGUACACACUGCCCGUCAAGCGAUGGAAGUUGGGGGUACCCGAAGUCCCGUUAAGGGCCGAAGGUAAAACUAGUGACUGGCGCUAAGUCGUAACAAGGUAGCCGUAUCGGAAGGUGCGGCUGGAUCACCUCCUUUCUAUAA